AAUUGUACAUUCCGCUCGAGACGCCUUUCGAACUCAGUCGAUUUACAGCCGGAGGACCGUUUAACACGUUAUAGAACACGGUUAUACGGCGUUAUAAUUAACGCACGAGGAUGCAAACUCGUACUUACGGACGAUUAAUUAAACCGCACACAACGGCGCCCGCUCUUGGGACUCGUAACGGCCGCAUUAUUAUCGGCCAGCCUGUAUUGUCGUGGCGGCGCGUGGCGAAUACCGAAUAUCGGAAUCUGGAAUAUCGAGCUGGUGGAACGGGAUCGAUAAUAAAGAGUGUCGUUCGUGCACGAGGAACGAGGUGAAUGGUGAAAAGUGAGCGUUGUGUAGCGAUUAUUUUGGAGGAGAGAAAUCUGGAUGAGACGUAACGUGAAUAUGAAAAUUGCAAUAACGAAGUGGUGGAGAAGAGCUGAAAAUGGAUAUUCUGGAUAUUCCAUGGAACAAUAAAUUGAUUAAUUCAUUCUAAAAA